rnacentral:rRNA from 1 species
GAUGAACGCUGGCGGCGUGCCUAAUACAUGCAAGUCGAGCGAACGGACGAGAAGCUUGCUUCUCUGAUGUUAGCGGCGGACGGGUGAGUAACACGUGGAUAACCUACCUAUAAGACUGGGAUAACUUCGGGAAACCGGAGCUAAUACCGGAUAAUAUUUUGAACCGCAUGGUUCAAAAGUGAAAGACGGUCUUGCUGUCACUUAUAGAUGGAUCCGCGCUGCAUUAGCUAGUUGGUAAGGUAACGGCUUACCAAGGCAACGAUGCAUAGCCGACCUGAGAGGGUGGUAGGCCACACGGGAGCUGGGACACGGACCAGACUCCUACGGGAGGCAGCAGAAGGGAAUCUUCCGCAAUGGGCGAAAGCCUGACGGAGCAACGCCGCGUGAGUGAUGAAGGUCUUCGGAUCGUAAAACUCUGUUAUUAGGGAAGAACAUAUGUGUAAGUAACUGUGCACAUCUUGACGGUACCUAAUCAGAAAGCCACGGCUAACUACGUG